AUUGAACGCUGGCGGCAGGCUUAACACAUGCAAGUCGAACGGAACCUUCGGGUUUAGUGGCGAACGGGUGAGUAAUACCUAGGAAUCUGCCUAUUAGUGGGGGAUAACGGCUCGAAAGGGUCGCUAAUACCGCAUACGUCCUACGGGAGAAAGAGGGGGAUCUUCGGACCUCUUGCUAAUAGAUGAGCCUAGGCCGGAUUAGCUAGUUGGUAGGGUAAAGGCCUACCAAGGCGACGAUCCGUAGCUGGUCUGAGAGGAUGAUCAGCCACACUGGAACUGAGACACGGUCCAGACUCCUACGGGAGGCAGCAGUGGGGAAUAUUGGACAAUGGGGGCAACCCUGAUCCAGCCAUGCCGCGUGUGUGAAGAAGGCCUUCGGGUUGUAAGACACUUUAAGCGAGGAGGAAGGU
rnacentral:rRNA from 1 species